UUGCUCCCUUGAUGUUUGGCACUGGGCUCUGAGUGAUUGUGAAGACAGAAGUGCAGCUCUGCUCCUGACAUGGUGGAGUCUGAGGAGACG